UACGUAGGGGGCAAGCGUUGUCCGGAAUCAUUGGGCGUAAAGAGCGUGUAGGCGGCCAGAUAAGUCCGCUGUGAAAUCUCGAGGCUCAACUUCGAGCUGUCGGUGGAAACUGUCUGGCUAGAGUCCGGAAGAGGAGAAUGGAAUUCCUGGUGUAGCGGUGAAAUGCGCAGAUAUCAGGAAGAACACCCGUGGCGAAGGCGGGUCUCUGGGCCGUAACUGACGCUGAGGAGCGAAAGCGUGGGGAGCGAACAGG
rnacentral:rRNA from 1 species